ensembl:lncRNA
GUGUGAUUUCUGGUCUUCACAACUGGACAGCAUUUCAUUCUUCAUUUGUCAAGAAAACAGCACAUAAGUGAGCUGAAGGACUCCACACCGAAUCUAGCUUCCUCCUGAUACUGCUUAUGGUGGAACCUCAGCUUUCUAGGAAACCUCUGCAGAAAGAGCCCUAUAUAGCAUCUGGGGAACUCUGAAGGAAUGCUAUGCAAGUUCUAAGGAGGUUGGUCAUGUAAUCACCUCAUGGUCAAGGCCAGGGAGGAAAGAAACUGUGCUACUAUAGUCCAUUUCUCCACUUGGACUGGACUACCUGGGAUUUCUUCAUUAGAGCCAUGUGAAAUCAAGACAUACAAGAAUAGUGUAUCUUGCUGCUGCUUAUUUCUUCAAGGAAGAACUCUUGUGAAGCUAACUUCUCAUCUUUGUACGUUCAUGCAAAAACACAAGAGGAGCAUAAAAUCAGUCUUGGCAAAGUAUUACCUCAGCACCACUUCGUAGAGAUGGAUGAAGGGACCUUGUUUUGGUACUCUGAUUGGCUGAUGUCCUCAAAGUCAAAUAGUCUCACGGUGGCUCCAGUGUUUCCAAACCUGUCCUGGGCAGCCACAAACUUUGAGGGCCUUUUAACUGUACCAGAGAUUCAAUUUUCCCCCAGGAAACUAAUGUUUACAGUCUGUGGCCACUUGAAAUUUGUUAACAUCAACUGAGUCUCUCAGGCUACACAUUAAGUUCUGCCUUCCUUGUGGAGUAUUUGAAUAUCUUCUGUGUGUCGUGUAUAUUGCAUGGUAGCACACACUAUCUCCGGCUGAAUAUAGCUUGCUGCCAUAGGUUGCCAGUUGCCAGAGGGUAGAGCGUACUAACUUGUGAGCCAGAGUACUAAACCAACACCUUCCUAGGGGGUGGCAGCUGUUCAUCAGGGACAGUUAGGUUCCUAUGAGCCCGAGCCAAGACCUAAAGGUUGGGAGUUUUAGCAUGAAGGGAGUUGAACAUGAACUUGAAGACACUAAGGAUCCCAGAGCUAUGUGAACAGCACAAAUGAAGACUAGGGAGCAGCAUGUCUUGGAGAAAUCAAAUGUUAAGAGUGACAACAAGGGUCAGAAAGGAAAUGAAACCAAAAAAUAAGGUCAAGUCAGGACAAGGGGAGUCCCAUCAGCCUGGUGAAAGUAAACAAUUUGGAAGGUAACAGGGCUUCCUAGGGGC